rnacentral:misc_RNA from 1 species
GAUGAAGAACGUAGCGAAAUGCGAUACUUGGUGUGAAUUGCAGAAUCCCGUGAACCAUCGAGUCUUUGAACGCAAGUUGCGCCUCAAGCCAUGAGGUUGAGGGCACGUCUGCCUGGGCGUCACAUAUCGUUGCCUGAUGCCAGUUUCCUCGUGAUGGGUGACUGUGCAGGGCGAAUGAUGGCUUCCCGUGAGCAUUGUUGCCGCAUGGUUGGUUGAAAAUUGAGUCCUUGGUAGGGAGCGCCGUGAUAGAUGGUGGUUGAGUGACGAACGAGACCCAAUCAUGUGAGACCCCUACCGAAUUUGGCCUUCAUGACCCACAUGCGUCUUUGGAACGCUCAUGACGAGACCUCAGGUCAGGCGGGGCUACACGCUGAGUUUAAGCAUAUCAAUAAGCGGAGGA